UACGGGGGGGGGCAAGCGUUUGUUCGGAAUUACUGGGCGUAAAGCGCACGUAGGCGGCUUUGUAAGUUAGAGGUGAAAGCCCGGAGCUCAACUCCGGAAUUGCCUUUAAGACUGCAUCGCUUGAAUCCAGGAGAGGUGAGUGGAAUUCCGAGUGUAGAGGUGAAAUUCGUAGAUAUUCGGAAGAACACCAGUGGCGAAGGCGGCUCACUGGACUGGUAUUGACGCUGAGGUGCGAAAGCGUGGGGAGCAAACAAG
rnacentral:rRNA from 1 species